rnacentral:rRNA from 1 species
GACGAACGCUGGCGGCGCGCUUAACACAUGCAAGUCGAGCGAGAACCUGGGCUUCGGCCCAGGGGACAGCGGCGAACGGGUGAGUAACACGUGGGUAAUCUGCCCUUGACAUCGGGAUAGCCCGGGGAAACCCGGAUUAAUACCGAAUAGCCUCCGGAGCCUUCGGGCGCCGGAGAAAAGGUAGCUUCGGCCUCUGGUCAAGGAUGAGCCCGCGGCGGAUUAGCUUGUUGGCGGGGUAACGGCCCACCAAGGCAACGAUCCGUAGCUGGUCUGGGAGGACGAUAAGCCAAACUGGGACUGAGACACGGCCCAGACUCCUACGGGAGGCAGCAGUGGGGAAUCUUGCGCAAAUGCGGGAAACCGUGACGCAGCGACGCCGCGUGGGGGAAGAAGGCCUUCGGGUUGUAAACCUCUUUCAGGAGGGACGAAGCUACUCGGGUUAAUAGCCCAGAGGGUGACGGUACCUCCAGAAGAAGCCCCGGCUAACUACGUGCCAGCAGCCGCGGUAAAAC